AGCGCUUCGCACUCGGCGGCGAGUGUGUGUGUGGGGAGGCAGCGCGCGCACACCGCCUCCGGUCGAUACUCUA